rnacentral:rRNA from 1 species
UCUGUGGGAUCAGUGGCGAACGGGUGAGUAACACGUGAGCAACCUGCCCCUGACUCUGGGAUAAGCGCUGGAAACGGCGUCUAAUACUGGAUACGAGUAGCGACCGCAUGGUCAGUUACUGGAAAGAUUUAUUGGUUGGGGAUGGGCUCGCGGCCUAUCAGCUUGUUGGUGAGGUAAUGGCUCACCAAGGCGUCGACGGGUAGCCGGCCUGAGAGGGUGACCGGCCACACUGGGACUGAGACACGGCCCAGACUCCUACGGGAGGCAGCAGUGGGGAAUAUUGCACAAUGGGCGCAAGCCUGAUGCAGCAACGCCGCGUGAGGGAUGACGGCCUUCGGGUUGUAAACCUCUUUUAGCAGGGAAGAAGCGAAAGUGACGGUACCUGCAGAAAAAGCGCCGGCUAACUACGUGCCAGCAGCCGCGGUAAUACGUAGGGCGCAAGCGUUAUCCGGAAUUAUUGGGCGUAAAGAGCUCGUAGGCGGUUUGUCGCGUCUGCUGUGAAAUCCGGAGGCUCAACCUCCGGCCUGCAGUGGGUACGGGCAGACUAGAGUGCGGUAGGGGAGAUUGGAAUUCCUGGUGUAGCGGUGGAAUGCGCAGAUAUCAGGAGGAACACCGAUGGCGAAGGCAGAUCUCUGGGCCGUAACUGACGCUGAGGAGCGAAAGGGUGGGGAGCAAACAGGCUUAGAUACCCUGGUAGUCCACCCCGUAAACGUUGGGAACUAGUUGUGGGGUCCAUUCCACGGAUUCCGUGACGCAGCUAACGCAUUAAGUUCCCCGCCUGGGGAGUACGGCCGCAAGGCUAAAACUCAAAGGAAUUGACGGGGACCCGCACAAGCGGCGGAGCAUGCGGAUUAAUUCGAUGCAACGCGAAGAACCUUACCAAGGCUUGACAUAUACGAGAACGGGCCAGAAAUGGUCAACUCUUUGGACACUCGUAAACAGGUGGUGCAUGGUUGUCGUCAGCUCGUGUCGUGAGAU